rnacentral:rRNA from 1 species
AUGCAGCGGAACGAUCCAGAAUUUACCUACCGAGUACAAGGUCAUGAGGAAAGCAGGAUCAAGCGAGAUAACUAUGUUGUUCUAUGUGCAAAUUUUAGAUCAAGCGAGAGCCAUGGAAGUUGCAAUCAAGACGGAGUUACCCGGGACUGUGCACACCUACUCGGCGGCCCUGAUGGUACGGUCGGCGGCGCGCGUGGAUGUUCUUCCUCCACCGACUCCCUCACGCACCCCGGUGGAAGCUGCCCCAUAGUUGGGUCAGCCGUUUCUCCACCAUGUCCCUCCCAAGCUGAAGAUGGUCUUCCUCCCCUGCCUCCCUCGAACACUGGAGCUGUUGUUCGGUCGCCGUCCACAUCCGCAAGGCCCCCAUCAAGAUCCUCCAAGAAUGAAGGGCCCCAAGAGGAACUAGCUGCAACUACGAGUGAAAGCCACAUCAAGAUCCUCACCAAGAAACAAACGAUGCUGCAGGCACAAGUCUUAGAAAAAUGA